GUGGGGAAUAUUGGACAAUGGGCGAAAGCCUGAUCCAGCCAUGCCGCGUGUGUGAAGAAGGUCUUCGGAUUGUAAAGCACUUUAAGUUGGGAGGAAGGGCAGUAAGUUAAUACCUUGCUGUUUUGACGUUACCGACAGAAUAAGCACCGGCUAACUUCGUGCCAGCAGCCGCGGUAAUACGAAGGGUGCAAGCGUUAAUCGGAAUUACUGGGCGUAAAGCGCGCGUAGGUGGUUUUGUAAGUUGGAGGUGAAAUCCCCGGGCGCAACCUGGGAACUGCCUACAAAACUGCAUGACUAGAGUACGGUAGAGGGUAGUGGAAUUUCCUGUGUAGCGGUGAAAUGCGUAGAUAUAGGAAGGAACACCAGUGGCGAAGGCGACUACCUGGACUGAUACUGACACUGAGGUGCGAAAGCGUGGGGAGCAAACAGGAUUAGAAACCCCAGUAGUCC
rnacentral:rRNA from 1 species